AAGGAUAAUAUUUAUUAUAGUGGUAAUACGGAUUGUGUUGUAUUAUGUUAUUGAUGUGUUGAAUGUGUAAUUAUUUUAUAAAAAAAAAGAACACAUAUAUACAUUGUGCUGCCCAUAC